CCUACGGGUGGCUGCAGUGGGGAAUAUUGGACAAUGGGGGCAACCCUGAUCCAGCCAUGCCGCGUGUGUGAAGAAGGCCCUCGGGUUGUAAAGCACUUUCAGUGAGGAAGAACGCCUGGUGGUUAAUACCCAUCAGGAAAGACAUCACUCACAGAAGAAGCACCGGCUAACUCCGUGCCAGCAGCCGCGGUAAUACGGAGGGUGCGAGCGUUAAUCGGAAUUACUGGGCGUAAAGCGCGCGUAGGUGGCUUGAUAAGCCGGUUGUGAAAGCCCCGGGCUCAACCUGGGAACGGCAUCCGGAACUGUCAAGCUAGAGUGCAGGAGAGGAAGGUAGAAUUCCCGGUGUAGCGGUGAAAUGCGUAGAGAUCGGGAGGAAUACCAGUGGCGAAGGCGGCCUUCUGGACUGACACUGACACUGAGGUGCGAAAGCGUGGGUAGCAAACAGGAUUAGAUACCUAGUAGUC
rnacentral:rRNA from 1 species